rnacentral:lncRNA from 1 species
GCUAUGACACCGGACCGCUCCCAGGGCUGGGAGGUGGGGCAGCCGCCACUGUUACAGGUCUAUCUACAAACCAGAAAGGCAAAAUGUGAUUUAUAUUCCCUAAGCUUGCAUCAUCCACCUUUGGGAAAGGAAGCAGACUCAAAAUGCUUGAGAAAGAGAUUCAUCUGGAUGGUGUUCAUGCUCAGAGAGUCAGACACAGCUGGGAGGAGAGUGUGCGGAUGCAUCAGGAACGCUCAAAGGAAAAAGAAAACCAGGUUUCUGAAGGGAUUGAACUGACUUUCUGUGCCAAGGGAGAAAGUCCUGACUGUGAGCCAGGAUAGGAGAAAAGGUGUGGAGGGUCAGUCCAGUCUUCCAGUGUUUGAAGAUCAACAAGAGGAAAGGCUCGUUUUCCCAUCAAAUGGACUCCUCAUUAAACUGUGUGAGACAUUUACAAUUACGCAAUGUAAAUAAUAUUACCUUUGAAUAUUAAGAUGCAGAAAUCUGAAGCAAUCAAAUAUAUUCUAAACCCUCUGAAAUAAUUAACAUCAGCUCUGUAGGAGAG